rnacentral:rRNA from 1 species
AAAGUGUAGCCAUAGAGGGUGAUAGUCCCGUAUGCAAAAACCUAACCUUAGCUAGCAGUAUCCUGAGUAGGGCGGGACACGAGAAAUCCUGUCUGAAGCUGGGUAGACCACUAUCCAACCCUAAAUACUCCUACCAGAUCGAUAGCGAACAAGUACCGUGAGGGAAAGGUGAAAAGAACGGCGGUGAGCCGAGUGAAAUAGAACCUGAAACCAUUUGCUUACAAUCAUUCAGAGCACUAUGUAGCAAUACAGUGUGAUGGACUGCCUUUUGCAUAAUGAGCCUGCGAGUUGUGGUGUCUGGCAAGGUUAAGCUAACGCGAAGCCGUAGCGAAAGCGAGUCUGAAUAGGGCGUAGCCAUCUCUUUUAUGCAUAUAUUGAAAUUUAGGAGGAUAUGAUGGGAAGUGAAAAAAGCACUCAAGAUAUAAAAAUCCUUAUUUUUAACAAAAAACCUAAGGAAAAUGAAGAAAAAAAAGUUAGUGGCAUUGAACAACAAAAUGAUAAUGAAGGUAUUGUUGAUACUUGGUUAAAGGAAAAACAUAGCAACUGGAUAGGCGAAAGUAUUACAAAAGUUAUACCUGAAUUGAAGGCAUUCUUACUUGAAAAAGGUGUAACUAUUAUUAGCGAUAAGCAAAAUACUGAUUAUCAGUAUGAAAUUGUUGUAAGAAUACCUAAAAAUAAACCAUAGAAUAAAUCCUAAAUAUCCCUAAUUGUAUGUAUAAAUGAGGUGGCUUUAGUCAGAUGCUGCAGACCCGAAACGAAGUGAUCUAUCCAUGAGCAGGUUGAAGCUAGUGUAAGAACUAGUGGAGGACCGAACCCGCUAGCGUUGAAAAGCUAUGGGAUGACUUGUGGAUAGGGGUGAAAGGCCAAUCAAACUUCGUGAUAGCUGGUUCUCUCCGAAAUAUAUUUAGGUAUAGCGUUGUGUCGUAACUAAAGGGGGUAGAGCACUGAAUGGGCUAGGGCAUACACCAAUGUACCAAACCCUAUCAAACUCCGAAUACCUUUAGUGUAAUCACAGCAGUCAGGCGGCGAGUGAUAAAAUCCGUCGUCAAGAGGGAAACAACCCAGACUAACAGCUAAGGUCCCCAAAUCUUACUUAAGUGGAAAACGAUGUGAAGUUACUUAAACAACCAGGAGGUUGGCUUAGAAGCAGCCAUCCUUUAAAGAAAGCGUAAUAGCUCACUGGUCUAGUGAUUUUGCGCGGAAAAUAUAACGGGGCUAAAGU